AUUGAACGCUGGCGGCAGGCCUAACACAUGCAAGUCGAGCGGAUGAGUGGAGCUUGCUCCAUGAUUCAGCGGCGGACGGGUGAGUAAUGCCUAGGAAUCUGCCUGGUAGUGGGGGACAACGUUUCGAAAGGAACGCUAAUACCGCAUACGUCCUACGGGAGAAAGUGGGGGAUCUUCGGACCUCACGCUAUCAGAUGAGCCUAGGUCGGAUUAGCUAGUUGGUGAGGUAAAGGCUCACCCAGGCGACGAUCCGUAACUGGUCUGAGAGGAUGAUCAGUCACACUGGAACUGAGACACGGUCCAGACUCCUACGGGAGGCAGCAGUGGGGAAUAUUGGACAAUGGGAGAAAGCCUGAUCCAGCCAUGCCGCGUGUGUGAAGAAGGUCUUCGGAUUGUAAAGCACUUUAAGUUGGGAGGUAGGGCAGUAAGUUAAUACCUUGCUGUUUUGACGUUACCAACAGAAUAAGCACCGGCUAACUUCGUGCCAGCCGCCGCGGUAAUAC
rnacentral:rRNA from 1 species